rnacentral:rRNA from 1 species
AGUGAACGCUGGCGGUAGGCCUAACACAUGCAAGUCGAACGGCAGCACAGUAAGAGCUUGCUCUUACGGGUGGCGAGUGGCGGACGGGUGAGGAAUACAUCGGAAUCUACUUUUUCGUGGGGGAUAACGAAGGGAAACUUACGCUAAUACCGCAUACGACCUACGGGUGAAAGCAGGGGAUCUUCGGACCUUGCGCGAUUGAAUGAGCCGAUGUCGGAUUAGCUAGUUGGCGGGGUAAAGGCCCACCAAGGCGACGAUCCGUAGCUGGUCUGAGCGGAUGAUCAGCCACACUGGAACUGAGACACGGUCCAGACUCCUACGGGAGGCAGCAGUGGGGAAUAUUGGACAAUGGGCGCAAGCCUGAUCCAGCCAUACCGCGUGGGUGAAGAAGGCCUUCGGGUUGUAAAGCCCUUUUGUUGGGAAAGAAAAGCAGCAGGUUAAUACCCCGCUGUUCUGACGGUACCCAAAGAAUAAGCACCGGCUAACUUCGUG